CACCUGUAAUAUAAACUGUUUUUCAUUUACUUUUAGACUAGUCAAUUAAUAUUCUCCUGGCAUCCCAGUUAGUUUUCAAAAACAAGAAACGGGCAUGUUUGUUUACGUUUUUGUCUUUGAUUCGGAUGUUUUGUGUUUCGUUUUAAUCCGGAUGUUUUGUGCCGCAACUCUGAUAGUUGCUCAGUUGUCGAAAAUUUUAUUUACGCCGUCGUGCAGCCGAGGCCCACCGGUCAAAUAAAGCAGCGAAGGAGGAUUUAUUAAGCAGCACCCGCAGCACCGUUCACCGUUUAUGCGAGGCGACCAAUAAGCACGGAUGUUUAGGAAAAUGUUAUCAAUCCUCCCGAUCAGCAGCAGCAGUUUUCCAGCAUCACCCUUUCAAGCAGCAGCCUAGCAACAGCUGACUAUGAAGACUCCUUCCGGUUUUUCCGGCCUAUUUGCCCCAACAUGGCCAAACAAUCAGCUGUAGCAAUAUGUAAAUCGAUAUCAAUCCGACUGUGACUGAUGCGCGGUAGCAGGCACGACGGGAUAAAAACGCCAACUGGAGGAGGUCAACGAUCCGAAAGUGUAUAAUUCCAACGGUAGAAAAGAGGACAGCGAAUCUCACAAUCCAAAUGUGGAGGAUACCUCUGCCGUUGCAUAAUCGGGUCUGCCCUUGUUCCGGAAAGUAACAUCUUCUCUCAUGAAAAGAAAUAUUGAGCGUCACAACAAUUGUAGCUUUCACUGUACUAGCAGCAAUGGAUCGCAAUUACGCGGGAUCUUGGAAGGAAAAGAAAAAAACCAUCCGGCUUCCACAGAACGAGCUGUUUGGUCUCUGCUCCUGAUCCGAUGGAAGCUCACGGAAUGACGCCAAAAGUAAUGCCAGCAGAAAGGAACAGAAACGAAAAAACUGCAGCAACAUAAAAAAUCAAGAUUUCCAGGGAAUUCCGGAAGUCUUACAAAUAUUUGUCUUUGGUACAAGUAAGUCCUCUUCGGCCAUGGAUCGAAUGGUUUUAGUGUAAUUUUGUGAACGAGUGACUUUUAUUUUAGUGAUGUAAGCCAUUUAUGUAUGUAUAUUUUUUUUCAAUUCAAUUCUGAUAAAGAAUAAUAAAUAUAAAUUCGAAUCAAUUUUUUUUUGCUUUUUAUUAAAUUCGAAAAAUAACCAUUCGGCAGAACCAAACAAAAA